GACGAACGCUGGCGGCGCGCUUAACACAUGCAAGUCGAACGGAAAGGCCCUGCUUUUGUGGGGUGCUCGAGUGGCGAACGGGUGAGUAACACGUGAGUAACCUGCCCUUGACUUUGGGAUAACUUCAGGAAACUGGGGCUAAUACCGGAUAGGAGCUCCUGCUGCAUGGUGGGGGUUGGAAAGUUUCGGCGGUUGGGGAUGGACUCGCGGCUUAUCAGCUUGUUGGUGGGGUAGUGGCUUACCAAGGCUUUGACGGGUAGCCGGCCUGAGAGGGUGACCGGCCACAUUGGGACUGAGAUACGGCCCAGACUCCUACGGGAGGCAGCAGUGGGGAAUAUUGCACAAUGGGCGGAAGCCUGAUGCAGCAACGCCGCGUGCGGGAUGACGGCCUUCGGGUUGUAAACCGCUUUCGCCUGUGACGAAGCGUGAAUGACGGUAAUGGGUAAAGAAGCACCGGCUAACUACGUGCCAGCAGCCGCGGUGAUACGUAGGGUGCGAGCGUUGUCCGGAUUUAUUGGGCGUAAAGGGCUCGUAGGUGGUUGAUCGCGUCGGAAGUGUAAUCUUGGGGCUUAACCCUGAGCGUGCUUUCGAUACGGGUUGACUUGAGGAAGGUAGGGGAGAAUGGAAUUCCUGGUGGAGCGGUGGAAUGCGCAGAUAUCAGGAGGAACACCAGUGGCGAAGGCGGUUCUCUGGGCCUUUCCUGACGCUGAGGAGCGAAAGCGUGGGGAGCGAACAGGCUUAGAUACCCUGGUAGUCCACGCUGUAAACGGUGGGUACUAGGUGUGGGGUCCAUUCCACGGGUUCCGUGCCGUAGCUAACGCUUUAAGUACCCCGCCUGGGGAGUACGGCCGCAAGGCUAAAACUCAAAGGAAUUGACGGGGCCCCGCACAAGCGGCGGAGCAUGCGGAUUAAUUCGAUGCAACGCGUAGAACCUUACCUGGGUUUGACAUGGAUCGGGAGUGCUCAGAGAUGGGUGUGCCUCUUUUGGGGUCGGUUCACAGGUGGUGCAUGGCUGUCGUCAGCUCGUGUCGUGAGAUGUUGGGUUAAGUCCCGCAACGAGCGCAACCCUUGUUCACUGUUGCCAGCACGUUAUGGUGGGGACUCAGUGGAGACCGCCGGGGUCAACUCGGAGGAAGGUGGGGAUGACGUCAAGUCAUCAUGCCCCUUAUGUCCAGGGCUUCACGCAUGCUACAAUGGCUGGUACAGAGAGUGGCGAGCCUGUGAGGGUGAGCGAAUCUCGGAAAGCCGGUCUCAGUUCGGAUUGGGGUCUGCAACUCGACCUCAUGAAGUCGGAGUCGCUAGUAAUCGCAGAUCAGCAACGCUGCGGUGAAUACGUUCCCGGG
rnacentral:rRNA from 1 species